UUGUGACUGCAGAGACAUAGGCUGCAGUUUCUGCCUGAGAGAAGAGAGUGGUGAAACUGACAGACCCAGAGAAGAAAGGGAGAGCCGGAAGGUUAGGAAAGGGCUCAGGGAAAAGGUGUCAGGGAAAAGGUGUCGUGUGAAACAGACCUUGACUGCUGACUAGAGAGUCCCUGAGCUGGAACCUGAAGUAAAGUGUAGGCCUGGGUUCCCCAGCCAGCCACUUGGGAAGUGGCACUGGUGGGGCAGUGUAUAGGAAGACUGCCUGAGCCUGUUUGGGGAUAAGAUACUUCCACUCUCCUCCCCCCAUCAGAAGGGGAAACCAUAACAGUAACCUAGCUGGAGAGCUGAGUCACAAAGCAGAGGCUGCAUUUCCUACAGCAAAAGGGGCCAUGGACAGGACAGGUGAAGACACCAUCAGAGGAGGGUACAACACUUGGAAGAACUAAUCCCCAGGAUGGCAAGGAGGAGACACCACCAGUGAAGUCUACGCAAAAGAUUCAAACCAUCAGGUUUUGGGGAAAGCACAACAAGAUUUCACCAGUCACUCUGGGAUUCUUUGACAACCACUCAUCUAGCAUACCUGCAACUCCUCCCACACUGUUUGCCACAUCUUCUGAGCCCUCAAGAAGGAGUGUUUUCUGAGUGUGAAGAAAGG